CAGCCACCCCGGCCCUCCGGUUGAGGCCCCAGCGGGAAUGCUGGGAGCGGGACUUAGCGGAGACCGAGGCUGGACGUCCAUCACCCAGGGGGCGGUGGAAGCCCUGAACAGCCGUUAUUGUCCUACCCCGAGAGGUGGGAUCCGCGCUCCCUCUCCUCCUCCACUCCCCGCUACCCUCCCCCUACUCCGCACAUCUCUGCGCCGCCCCGGCCUUUCCAAGCCUUCUGCCGCGGGGACUCUCGGACUGGGCGGGACCCGCCCCCCAACUCACCCCCCUGGUUAACCCGCUGGGACCCCGGGACCUCCAGAGGGGCCAGGCCUCCCGCAGUCAGGCCCACCCUUGUUUUCUAGCGGGAGGGGAGAGCGCGCGCGAGAGGGGUCUGAGCCCGGCCUGCCCCGCCUUCGCCUCGCACCUAUCAAGGAGUCUGCCCCCUCCCGCCCCCGGCCCCGCCCUCUCAGAACUCCGGGCCGCAGAGCUAGAGAGAGCCGGUCCCGCCCCCUCCCCGCCCCUCCCACCUCCGCCCCGCCCCUCCCGCCCCCGGCCCCUCCCUCUCAGAACUCCGGGCCGCAAAGAGCUAGGGAAGAGCCGGCCCCGCCCUCGCCUCGCCCCGCCCCUAGCGGAGAGCAGGCUCCGGAGCCCCGGGGUCGCCCGUGGAGGGACUCCAGCCGUGGGACCCGAGGAGGGGUUGCCAAGGGCCGGAGGCGAAGCCUGGCGUCGCUGGGAGCCAGGGAGGCUCGGAAGGAAAAGUCUCAGGAGAGUAAAAGGUUUCCAAGAUUCCGCCAAGACUUAAACUAGCCCCCCCUCCCCUCUCAUUAGUAGGCAAACGUGCUCCCUCCCUAAUAAAGGUAAAGGACGUGCGGACUAUAGAACGGUUCAGAGCAAACCUUUACGAUCUGCCGCCAACAAGCGUGAUUCGUGCACCUACCUAUGGAUCCUCCUCUGCCCGGGGCGCGUCCGGAGACGCUCCCCGCCCGCAGGGCCCGGCUCCCUCCGGCCCCUCCCCCCCUCCUUUAUAGGGACGCGCAGCCUCGGGGGGGGGGCGGGGGUCCGAGGGCGGGCCGGGAGCUGGCCCUCGGGCACGGCGGCUCGGGACCGCGCUAACGGCGCGCCCCCGGAGACAGGGCGGGCGGCAGCGUCCGGUGGGCGGGGCUCCCCCCGGUAAUCAAGCUUCUGGGGAAGCGGCUCCGUCCCGCUCUCCCGGGCGGUGGGGAAGAGCUUUAAGGGCGCUAAGGGGGGGCUCUGACGUCACGUUCCAGGAACGGGGUCUGGCGGGUCCCCCGGACCCUGUUGUGGCUCCUCCCGACCCCGGCACCGCUCCCGGGGGGAAAUGAGUGGAACGGAGCUCGCGGAACCUUCCUCUUGGUCGAAGCUUCCACAGGCACUUUCUUCUUAGUUGCAGGAACUAUUCCCUGGGGUGAAGCCUCUGCAGACACCCUCUUGUUGGUCAAAGCCUCGGAGGAAUCUCCUUUCUGGUGAAGAAGGAUGUGGAGAGAGGCGGAGAUGUAGAAAGAGAGACACAGAGACAUACAUACACCUGCUCUGCUUCCUGCUAAGCCCUGCUGAGAACCUUAACAUCGGUCAUCUCCAUGUGUAUCUGAGGAAGGUUGGUAUGUAUGGCCCUGGCAAUCAGUAGCCUUGGUGGAAGAUUACAAAUGAGACUGUGAAUUCUUUCACAAAACCUGCCACACCGGCCUGGGGACCCCCAAACACAGUGAGGAUGUCUCUUCCAUCAACACAAAUACUAUGUUCCAAUGCACAUUUAGUCUCCAUUGUUCUUUCUCUUGAUGUAAAUGGUUCUUUACAUCCCAAGUCUAUUGGAAUUAUCUUGGA